CAGGUGUCAUGAGUAGUGAAAUUUCAGCCAUCUCAGCUUCAUCAAACACCAUAAAAGGGAUAAUGGCAAUGAGGAUACUCAAGCUCGUGAACACUCUGAUGAGGAAAUGGAUUCUGACGAGGAACAUGAGAGUUUUGUCAUUCAGAGCAAAAAUUAUGUGAUGAGAACAAAGCAGCUGAAGUUGGAAUAUAUUGAGAUGGCUAUAAUGUGGUGUGGUGUGACCCAUGAUUGACAUAAAUUAAGAAGAUUUGGUGGGCUUGGCUUGAUGACAACAUUGUUUUUUUGUGUCUGUACACGAUGGCAGCAGUGCUUUCGCCUUAUGUGUGCUGCUCUU